rnacentral:lncRNA from 1 species
AGUGUAUCUGGAAUAAAAAUCAAAAGCCAAGAUCAUAUUCAUCUGCGAUGUCGAAAAAUCUCAUACGGACACCGUACGAACAGGUGUGAGGAACUUGUUUCACUGUCGACGAAAACGGAGUUUAUAUAUGGGAAUGGAAUCUUCCCGAACUGAAUCAUUUCACAGUUCCACAAUGGUUACCAAAGUGUAACCUCUGCAACAGAUAAUCAAUCAAAUUAUUGACAGAAUUUACCAGACGACAUUGAAAUUGGUGCAAGUCCUUGAUGUAAGAAACAGAUAAGCAACAGAUAAACAACAGAACAACAUAUAAACAACAAAUGAAUAACAGAAAAACAACAGAUGAACGAUAUAUAAACAACAGAUGAAUAAUAGAUGGACAACAGAUGAACGACAGAUGAAAAAAACUUAUGCUUUAGUGCACACCAAACAUACCAAAUGAAACAUAUCGUCCCUAGCAUGGCAUAGAAAAUAAUCCAUUUUCUACACGAACAGCAGAAAAAAAUCAUCAAAAAUCUUUCAUUUAAUCUUUUGCUUGUCGAAAACAUUUUCAUAAGUUUGUCUUUGUUUGUUUUCAGGCUUUUAGUUAGUUAUAUUGUUUCAUACGUUCUGAGUAAUAUAAAGCUUCUUUUUUUUUCGUUUUUUUUUUUCGUAGGUACUAAGUUACUCUUGUAGUUGAAAAAAAUAGGAACGUGCAUCAUAUAUGAUGCAUUGACAACAGGGAAAUAUGUUCUGUGUACCACGUGAUACGCAGGACUGGCAAAUGGUUAAUGUGUUUAAUUAUUUAUUUAUUUCAUUAAAACUUAACUCUGGUAACUACUGAAAGAAAACUGUGCAAACCAGAUUGACUUUAAAAAAAAAAUCAUAUGAUAAUUAUAGCGCAGAUUAACUCUGUUUCCGAAACCAACAGUAAUUGUAUGUAUAUGAUGAACAACAAAGGAUAUGAGUCAAUGGUGGAACCUUUACAUAGACGCUUAAAUGGCUAGAAAUAAGAACCAAAUCUUACUUAAAUUACACCUCACUAUUCUACACAAGGGAAGGUACACUGGAAUAUAUAGUCAUAAAAAUACUGUCUCUAAGCAAAGAUUAAAGAUGGAAUGGCCAUAGUGGAAAAGCAUUUAAUUGAAGCAAGAUAACAGCAACAUCGUCAUUAUCAACAACAACAACAACACCAAUAACAAUAAGAUAUAAGAUUCAACAGUAACAUAAAAAUUUCCCCUAAUCCGCUUAAGCUUUGUAUAUAAAUUAAUCACAUGCUAAACAACUGGACUUCUCCGUGAAUUUUUCUCCUCUUUUCAAAAGCUUCCUAAAUUCGCAUGAAGCACGCAAAUAUCUUACAGGCAAUUCAGUCAUAUUAAAAUACUUAGCAAUGUAACACAGUCAAUAAUGGAUUUAUCUCUCUCACCCUGUGUCUAUCAGUCUUUUUCACUCCCUCUCUCUAUCUCCAUCUCUCUCUCUCUCUCUCUA